rnacentral:tRNA from 1 species
UGCGGGGUGACGCAGCGGUCAGCGUGCCUGGCUCAUAACCAGGAAGUCAUGGGUUCGAGUCCCAUUCCCGCUA